GAUGAACGCUGGCGGCGUGCCUAAUACAUGCAAGUCGAGCGAACAGACGAGGAGCUUGCUCCUCUGACGUUAGCGGCGGACGGGUGAGUAACACGUGGAUAACCUACCUAUAAGACUGGGAUAACUUCGGGAAACCGGAGCUAAUACCGGAUAAUAUAUUGAACCGCAUGGUUCAAUAGUGAAAGACGGUUUUGCUGUCACUUAUAGAUGGAUCCGCGCCGCAUUAGCUAGUUGGUAAGGUAACGGCUUACCAAGGCAACGAUGCGUAGCCGACCUGAGAGGGUGAUCGGCCACACUGGAACUGAGACACGGUCCAGACUCCUACGGGAGGCAGCAGUAGGGAAUCUUCCACAAUGGGCGAAAGCCUGACGGAGCAACGCCGCGUGAGUGAUGAAGGUCUUCGGAUCGUAAAACUCUGUUAUUAGGAAAGAACAAAUGUGUAAGUAACUAUGCCCGUCUUGACGGUACCUAAUCAGAAAGCCCCGGCUAACUACGUG
rnacentral:rRNA from 1 species